AGAGCGUCACCUUCGGAGAAGUACAACCCAUUGGACCAUGAACGCAACCUCGCAAUCUCCCGCCGCGGCCGGACGAUCAUCAGCGCAACGAAUUCCAACAACAACAAAAUCUCGCAACGAUAAGACCAUACAGGAAUGCCUCGACCAGUAUCAACAGGCUAAUAAGAAUGAUGAUUGUCUCUUGAAAACAUAUCAAGCCCAACUCGAGGAAGAGUGGAAACGGUUCCGACUCGUCCAAGAGGAAUUAGAGUACCUC
rnacentral:misc_RNA from 1 species